AGCUUCCGCCUGCUACGGUCCUGGCAAGCACCUCGGGAUCCCAUUCCUUCACAGGGACCCUAGCCAGUUAAAGCUGAUACAUUCCUGUGGGUCAACUAUGCAACUAACUCAGAUUUUGAGCAAACAAAGCUCUCAAGUUGGUGAUCCUCAGGAGUCUCUGCAUUAGUUGGACAGCUCUUCUGGAAUUAUCUUCUAAGUCAACUGUGGGUUGGGUAGGUGGCUCUGCUGAUUUUUCGCUGGACUUCCACAUUUGGGACGAGUUGGCUGUCAUCAGCUCUAGAAAGGGUGUGGCCGUUUUACAUUGGCUGUUUUCCUCACAUUCCUCAAGCAGGUAAGCUUAAUCAUGUUCUCAUAUUGAAGCAGAAACUGUUUACUCAUUUAUCUAUUUACUUACUGGGUCUCCUGGGCACUAGGUACUGUAAUAAAGAACUGGAGAAAUACAGUCAGAUGGGAAGUAGCCCUUGCUGUCAAGGAGCUUGCCAUCUAAUGGGGGAGACAGGCAAGUAAACCAAAGACUACACAGUGCAGUAUGGUAAGUGCCAUGAUUUUGAUGUGACAGGGCACAGUGGACGACCUUCCAAAUCAAAGCAAGUAACUAGGGGUUGACAAUGGUAAGUAUCAUAGUUGAAGUAUCCUUGAACAAGGUUUCAGGAAGAAGAAGAAGGGAAUUUCAUGCAGGGAAACAGCCAAAGCUCAGUGAGUCAAAAUAUCACAGCAUUCUUGGUAAGCCCAAUUGUUUUUUCUGUUUUG
rnacentral:lncRNA from 1 species